rnacentral:rRNA from 1 species
AACGAACGCUGGCGGCAGGCUUAACACAUGCAAGUCGAACGCCCCGCAAGGGGAGUGGCAGACGGGUGAGUAACGCGUGGGAACCUACCCAGUUCUACGGAACAACUGAGGGAAACUUCAGCUAAUACCGUAUACGCCCUACGGGGAAAGAUUUAUCGGAAUUGGAUGGGCCCGCGUUGGAUUAGCUAGUUGGUGGGGUAAUGGCCUACCAAGGCGACGAUCCAUAGCUGGUCUGAGAGGAUGAUCAGCCACACUGGGACUGAGACACGGCCCAGACUCCUACGGGAGGCAGCAGUGGGGAAUAUUGGACAAUGGGCGCAAGCCUGAUCCAGCCAUGCCGCGUGAGUGAUGAAGGCCUUAGGGUUGUAAAGCUCUUUCGCCAGGGACGAUAAUGACGGUACCUGGAUAAGAAGCCCGGCUAACUUCGUG